rnacentral:rRNA from 2 species
GACGAGUCUGACGAACGUUAUUCGGAAUCACUGGGCUUAAAGGGUGCGUAGGCGGUAUGGUAAGUCGGAUGUGAAAUACCCUAGCUUAACUAGGGAACUGCACUCGAUACUACCGUGCUAGAGUAAGACAGAGGUGAGUGGAACUGAGAGUGGAGCGGUGAAAUGCGUUGAUAUUCUCAGGAACACCGGUGGCGAAGGCGACUCACUGGGUCUUUACUGACGCUGAUGCACGAAAGCUAGGGUAGCAAACGGG